AACUACUGAAGCCUGCCCGCCCAGAGCCCGAGCUCUGUGACAAGAGGAGCCACCACAGUGAGAAGCCCGCACACCGCAACAAAGAGUAACCCCACUCGCCGCAACUAGAGAAAGCCCACGCACAGCAACAAAGACCCAAAGCAGCCAAAAAUAAAUAAAUAAAUAAAAAAGCAAGGCAUAAGGUGAGCUUUCUGAAUUAGUACUUUGAGGGCUACCGAGUCUGUGCACCAGCUGUCCAUCUCCCACCCUAAACAACCGCUACAGAUGAGGAAUAAGGCCAGCACUGAAAUAAUCAGAAGUCAGAAGGUUCUUAUGUGCUGGCUUUUAGACUUUGAGGGCAUGUGACACUUCUGAGCUGCAUCAGUAAGGAUGGACUAGGGUGUGCUAUGGAACAAAUAGUCCCCACGUUUUCAUGACUUAACCCAACAGAAAACUCUACCUCACUUAUGUUGCAUGCCCACUAUGGACCAGAAAGGAGACUGUGCCCCUUGUGGUCUGUCAGGGACUCAGGUGCCUUUUCUACACUUACUUCCAGGAUCACCACAUCAGGGGGCUGGGAAGAUGGUGAAUUAUGCACAGGUUCUUAAAGCUUCCACCUUGAAGUACCUGUCUGCUUACCUUUCAUUGGCCCAAGCCAGUCACAUGACCAUGGCUUACUUCCAACAUGGCAGUGAAGUACAGUCCUACUGUGUUCAUGGAAGACAGAGGGCUGGACAUUAUUUGGUUGAUAGCACUGAUUGCUACCAGGGUAGCCUAGGAAGAUCCUAAAACUCCACAUGGGACGAGGGGUGGGUUUGGAGUAAAAAAAUUGACUUAUUUUCAGGCAUAUAAGAUGUUCUUCAACUUUUUCUUUCUUUUUCUUUCUUUCUUUCUUUCUCUUUCUUUCUUUCUUUCUUCUUCCUCUUUCUUUUUCGUACUAAUAUCUCAUGGUGAAUUUUAAUUUGUCACUGUGAAGAGAGUAUCAAGAAUAUGAAUUUAAUGAGACUAUGGUCAAGAUGUGAAGUUUGCUUUUUGUCCCAUUUUAUGAGAAAAUAUUAUUGUGAUAAGAAAUUAAAUAUUUUUCUAUGUUGAACCUUAUAAAGAAAUAUUAAAUGUUACAUAUAUGAGAAUGCCAGCAGUUUUCCAUCAGUGAUGCAAAAUAUACAUGCCCUGUGCAUAUCCCUGAAUAUUUGGUCCAGUAUAUUCUGAUGGACUCACUCUAAUAUAAUAAUUUGGCAGGAACUCUAAUAACUGAAUUUGGAAUAUAACUCCCCAGGUGAACUUGAAUGGCACUCUUUUUCAGUCAACUUCAUUUUGUUAAAGUAAGUAUCAGAGCAUCAAACCUUCAACAAAUUAAUUUUUUUAAAAGAGUCUAUUAGUAAUGAAAGAGAUGGGGUAAGGUAAAUUGCAUCCUGAAUUUUAUAUUUUUCUUUUGUAAAAAAGCUUGGGUUGUGUCUGUUGUCUUAAUGUGUCUCAAAGGCCAAAGUACCAUGUAUUUCCUUAAGCAGCUGCAUCACCAGACGUCCUGUGUAACCUUGGGAGGAGCCUGGGAGGUGCCCAGGUCUCAGUGGUAAACUCCUGUUUGGUGUUGUCAGUAUAGACUCACUUUCUUCAGGAAAGUCUUGACAAUGUCCAGCAAAUGCGCCAUUCAUAGAAUCUUUAACCUGAGCUAGUCUGUACAGUCCAAAAUGCUUCCAUGUUCUCGUUUGACAUUGAACUCUUAGGACUCCAUGGACUUAAAGUACUUAAAAAGAGUGAUUUCCAAACUCCUGAAGUAGGAGCAUCAUUUUUGGCAGGGAUCGUGCCAGAAGCUGUUUGCUGGAGGUGAGAUUUGCCAGGCUCUGCUGGAGGCCACCAGCAUGCCUGCCAAUGUGCCUGCAUGCCCCCUCCCUUUAAAAGCCAUUCUCUUUAAUCAGGCCUGGGGCUUCCCAGAAGGCUACGUAGAAAGGCAAAUAAUCUCCCGUUUUGUAAUAGAUUCAACUCUAUUUAUCUAGGAAACAAGAAUUAAUGCGGCAGAUUUACUAGUCUUCUUCGUAGUUGGUCUUCCCCACUAGAGUGUGAGCGCCACAAAUGCAGGGAUUUUUGUCAGUUUCAUCUACGGCCUGACCUGACGCACCUAGAAGGGUGUCUGCCAGAGAGGAGGCAUUUAAUACACGUGUUCAUUGCAUUAAGAUCCCAUUCAUCCACAGGAAGAUCCUCAGGAAGUGCGACACAGUUUAAUUGCUAAUAUUAUGGGCUUUAGGGAAAACAGACCUAGGUUGGAAUACCAGUCCUUUCCCUUAGUGUUUAUGUGCCCUUAGACAUUUGUUUAACCUCUGAGUUUCAGUUUUUCCAUAUAAAAGGCAGAUAAUACUAGUAACUCUCUUGUUUUGGGGGGAAUUAUAGUAUCUAUAAAACAUCCAGUACGGUACUGACACAUAGCAGGUGCUUUGUAGCCUGUAGGUACUAUUACUAUUACUACCCGGUUGGGGGAGAAAGGGGAGGGCAUCCCUUUUUAGGGCUGAGAGUCGGGGAUGCUGGGAUAAGCCGCGAUGGAUGGGGAAGCUUCUGUACUAGGGCAGUAGGAAGCAAGGGAGACCCCCAAACUUUCCCUGGUGGCUCUUGAAUUUGGUUUUUAUAAAGGACUGAGGCAUAGGACCUCCAAAGGAACAUUUUAAAAUAUACAUACGUAGCUACAUGUGAAAAAUGACUAUUUACAGUUACACCAACAUAUAUGUAGAUAUAUGUGAAAAGUGAAUUUAAAGCAUUUGCGUUUGAAGACAUUUUAAGAGAAUUUAAGAAAGCCCUCAGGUCCUAGGAGAGGGUGGGAAGUAGUGGCUUGGGGGAGGGGGGAAUCCCAGAAUAUCACAAAACCAGAAAUAGGACCCUCAGUGCUCUGAACACUUGGCAUGAUUUCAGAAUAUCUAAUUGUCUUCAUUUGCAUACCACAAAAGGAGUUGAGGUUGAUGCCUCCUGCUAAUUAACUGUUUAUUGGCCUGAUGACUAGCUAGGGUAUCUGCAACAGAGCAUCCCCUACCCAGAUGCAAAGCGGAAAAAUGCAUGUAGUGUUGUGAGUAAUGAGGGUUCUCUGAAGACGUUUGGCUAUUCCAGACAUAAGCCGUGAUCUGUGGGAAAGGAGUGCUGACUGUGUUUGGAGACUUCAAAGACGUGAGCCAUUGGACCAUUCUUGUUUUCUAAAUGUUAAGACAGACUGCCGUUAAGGAAGCCACCUGAGUUAGGUGACGUUAUCUCCUUGACUGUUUCAGUUUAAUACCGUUGGUACUUAGACCACUGGAUUUUUGUGACGAUUGAGUAGGAUGGUAGAUACAGAUACACAUGGACCGAAAAAUGUUGGCUAUACUAUAGAAUUGUUUGCUUUCUUGUUCUUUCUGUUCCCCUUUCUCCCAUCUCCCUCUUCCUCUUCUUCUUUGUUGGGACCCUCAUCCCUCUGGAAGGAGAAGUUGGGGAGGGUUGUAGUCAGGAGCCAGUGCCUUCUCACUGGAUUGACUUUGUUCUUUCUAUUCUCAAGAAGGGCAGGAGGGAAGGUAGCUUACAGAUCAUCUGGUCAAGUGAUACUUAGCUGGAGGAACUCUUUUAACCCUAAACAAAUCUUAAGUAGAAGUAUUGUAUAUACAAUAGAUUUUAAGAAAGAGGUGCUCAAUAAAGACAUUUUUUAAAAAAGAGUAAUUGUUGAGAGAAAAAUAAAGAUGUCCAUUUU
rnacentral:lncRNA from 1 species